UACGGAGGGUGCAAGCGUUAUCCGGAUUCACUGGGUUUAAAGGGUGCGUAGGAGGGCAGGUAAGUCAGUGGUGAAAUCCUAGGGCUUAACCCUAGAACUGCCGUUGAUACUCUCUGUCUUGAAUACCGUGGAGGUGAGCGGAAUAUGUCAUGUAGCGGUGAAAUGCUUAGAUAUGACAUAGAACACCGAUUGCGAAGGCAGCUCACUACACGAACAUUGACUCUGAGGCACGAAAGCGUGGGGAGCAAACAGG
rnacentral:rRNA from 1 species